UUAUAAGAGGCUCCAAAGAGCUCUCUCACCCCUUCUACCAUGUGAGAACACAGCAAAAAGAUGCCAUCCAUGAACCUGUAACCAGAAGUCACCGGCAGUUGCUGAAGUGUCCCACACUUGCAGACCCACAGCCUUUGCUCAUUCUGGAGAGGUGUCAGAAGUUUAACGUGGAUGAGCAACACGAGAACAUGGCAAUGACUGCUGGCUCUCUCAUGUGUGCCAGGGCACCCAGCCCAGGCAGUUGGGUGACGACCCGCCCACUGAGGUGACUUCACCUAACAAUGGAACAGUGUGGAAAUGCAAUGAAAGCUGAGCUUUAAAAACUGCCCUGUGACUCCAAAGUGUUUUUAUGCAUGAAGUCAUUGUAAAAAUUUUAUCAACAUCUGAUUUCCAAUAUUUUGUGAUAAUCAAGGAAAAGUUCUCUUUCGCCAGACUUGGAUUGAGUUCCACAGCAGUGUCUAGCAUCUAUGGGCUCUUUAUCUCCUUCGGUGCCAGAUGAGCCAGUAAUGUUGAAAAGUGACUACGCCUUUGAGAUGAAUUGCAAUGCCGGGUCUGCCGCUAACUGGGAGCCGUGUUGCAUCCUUCCUCAACACCCUGCCGCGGUGUGUGCCGCCUUGAAACCAUGUCAUCGAACAGAAACCUCCACACACAGGAAGUCGCUGAAAAAUGGCGUGGGGAUUUGUCAGCCCUCCUUCAGCCCACAGGCUCUUCAUUAACACUCAGAAAAGCGGACUCAGCAAACUAACAAAGUGGGGGGAACUCGAUGCUUAUUUCCUUAGCAAUGAAGCUGGGCCGUCAUAUAUAUGCCUCGAGCUAAAUGGACGGGUGUCCUGAGUGCUAGCCAGGUUCACCAGGCAAAGGAGAAUUUCCACUUGGAAUCAAAGCCAUCCUCAGCUCCUCCCGGCAGUCUCCUACACCGAAGGCCCAGGGGAACCGUGAUAGCUGGACAGUGUUCUCCCCCAACAGCACAGCUACAGAAGCCAUCGGGAAAACUGGUGGCUAUGUAGUAGCUAUGUCGGGUGCUUCGUUGAUAAUUUUGUUCAAAUCUUUUAUGAUUGUACUUCGAUUCUGCCUUUAGAAUUGCAGGUUCCACGUGCCAUUAUAUCGUGUAUAUAUUGGUUCUUUUUUCGUUUUUCUUGAACUUACCUUGUUUAAAAAAAGUCAUAGUUCCUCAUGACAAGGUAUGUUGCUGUGCAAUGGACAGA